GAGUUUGAUCGUGGCUCAGGAUGAACGCUAGCUACAGGCUUAACACAUGCAAGUCGAGGGGCAGCGGGAUUGAAGCUUGCUUCAAUUGCCGGCGACCGGCGCACGGGUGAGUAACGCGUAUCCAACCUUCCGCUUACUCGGGGAUAGCCUUUCGAAAGAAAGAUUAAUACCCGAUGGUAUCUUAAGCACGCAUGAGAUUAAGAUUAAAGAUUUAUCGGUAAGCGAUGGGGAUGCGUUCCAUUAGGCAGUUGGCGGGUAACGGCCCACCAAACCUACGAUGGAUAGGGGGUUCUGAGAGGAACGGUCCCCCCACAUUGGAACUGAGACACGGUCCAAACUCC
rnacentral:rRNA from 1 species